rnacentral:rRNA from 1 species
GAAUUUUGGGCAGUGGGCGAAAGCCUGACCCAGCAACGCCGCGUGAAGGAUGAAAUCCCUCGGGAUGUAAACUUCAUAAGAACGGGAAGAAUAAGUAAGAGUUAAUAUCUCUUAUGAUGACGGUACCGUUAGUAAGCUACGGCUAACUCAGUGCAAGCAGCCGCGGUAAGACGGGGGGAGCAAGCGUUGUUCGGAUUUACUGGGCGUAAAGGGCGCGUAGGCGGCCACCGCAAGUCGACUGUGAAAUCUCCGGGCUUAACCCGGAAAGGUCAGCCGAUACUGCGGGGCUAGAGUGCAGAAGGGGCAACUGGAAUUCUCGGUGUAGCGGUGAAAUGCGUAGAUAUCGAGAGGAACACCUGCGGCGAAGGCGGGUUGCUGGGCUGACACUGACGCUGAGGCGCGAAAGCUAGGGGAGCGAACGGG